GACCACCUGGGAUUUUUCUCAGGUCAAGGCCAUACGGACAGCCGGGUCAACUGCCGA
rnacentral:sRNA from 1 species